UUAUGCCUUAUAGCUUAUUUUAUGGCAUAGAAGAUAGGAUUUCAGGGCUUUUAACUGAAAGUUAUAAUAAUCACAUGAUAGUAUAUUUAGUGGACUUUCAAAUAAUUUCUUCAAAACUUUAACUAUGAACAUUGUCAGGACAGAACCAAGUCAGUGUAGGGCUUUUGUUAUUGUCUAUUCCUCCCAGGGCAGAGUGUCUGAUGAAAGAUAUCAUCCUGAGAUGGGACACGUACCUUCCAGGCUUCAGCUGCUUCUCCAGCCUUUCUUACUGGUCUCAAAGAAUUCAGAAAUACUUCUAAGAGUUAACCAGCACUACGGUGAGGCUUUGCUUUAAACUUUGCUAUUUCAACCUCUUGUCUGACUUCUCAUCCAUACAGAGUCUUACCAUGAAUAAGAUGUGGGAAAUUCUUGCUUCAAAGCAUCAAACUUUCAAUGCUAAGGAAGACUUGAACGUUUUGUAAAGCUGUUGGUAACAUCUACUUCAUGUUCUGCUUUAUUUAAUGGAAGAGGUCAAGAGGAUUUUAUGAGCCUGUAUUAUGCCAAACAUUGUGAAGACCACUCAAGACUGACAGAAAGACUUUUGGACUGCCAAACCUCUUUGGAAAGUUCCACAUCCUCUCAUAUUGUCAUAGUUAUGAUCAUCUGUUUAUCAUAGUUUAGCAGGUACUCUUUCAAGAAUGGAUGGUGUAGUUAUAACAAGAAAAUUUGUUAAAAUGCAUUGAAUUAUAUUAGGUGUUCCAUUUAAAUAAUUAAAAAUCAUCAGCAAAAAAUAAAAAUAAGUGUGCAA